rnacentral:rRNA from 1 species
AUUGAACGCUGGCGGCAGGCUUAACACAUGCAAGUCGAGCGGGGACGGGUAGCUUGCUACCUGACCUAGCGGCGGACGGGUGAGUAAUGCUUAGGAAUCUGCCUAUUAGUGGGGGACAACAUUCCGAAAGGAAUGCUAAUACCGCAUACGCCCUACGGGGGAAAGCAGGGGAUCUCCGGACCUUGCGCUAAUAGAUGAGCCUAAGUCAGAUUAGCUAGUUGGUGGGGUAAAGGCCUACCAAGGCGACGAUCUGUAGCGGGUCUGAGAGGAUGAUCCGCCACACUGGGACUGAGACACGGCCCAGACUCCUACGGGAGGCAGCAGUGGGGAAUAUUGGACAAUGGGCGAAAGCCUGAUCCAGCCAUGCUGCGUGUGUGAAGAAGGCCUUUUGGUUGUAAAGCACUUUAAGCGAGGAGGAGGCUACCGAGAUUAAUACUCUUGGAUAGUGGACGUUACUCGCAGAAUAAGCACCGGCUAACUCUGUGCCAGCCGCCGCGGUAAUAC